UACGGGGGGUGCGAGCGUUAAUCGGAAUCACUGGGCGUAAAGGGCACGCAGGCGGAUUUUUAAGUGAGAUGUGAAAUCCCCAGGCUUAACCUGGGAAUUGCAUUUGAUACUGGGAGGCUUGAGUACUUUAGGGGGGGGUAGCAUUCCACGUGUAGCGGUGAAAUUCGUAGAGAUGUGGAGGAAUACCGAAGGCGAAGGCAGCCCCCUGGGAAUAUACUGACGCUCAUGUGCGAAAGCGUGGGGAGCAAACAGG
rnacentral:rRNA from 1 species